UACACUGAUGAUUAUUUUCAGGGAGAGAUUGGAUCUCAAGGCUUUGGUGGACCACCAGGCCCACCUGUAAGUAAUAUACCACUGCAAUGUCUUCAUAAAAGUGAUAAAAUAGUGAUGUUGGGUUAUAUAAUGAGAUAUGAAGUGCAUUCAUUAUCUGUCCUCUAAUCAGGGAAAAAUGUGCCCCAGAGGAGUUAAAGGUGUCCUCGGAGUUAAAGGACCUCCGGGUCAUCAAGGUGAACUGGGUGCCAGAGGAGCAGCUGGACCACAGGGAGAGCGUGGUCCUGAUGGAGCAGUUUGGUUUCCCGGUGUCCGUGGCCCCCAGGGAAAACCAGGACCAGGUGGACCUCCGGGUCCUAAAGGAGACCCUGGUAAUCCAGGAGACGAAGGGGAUAUAGGGGAACCUGGACCAUCUGGACUUAAUGGAGCCAAUGGGAAUCCAGGAAAGUCUGGACCCUCAGGUGAUCCUGGGGCGAAAGCCAAGCGAGGUGAUAAGGGUGAUCCAGGGUUCAAGGGAGACCUGGGACCUCCAGGACCUCCAGGUAAACAAGGAUUGAAGGGGCGUCGAGGCCCUUCAGGACUUGAGGGACUUGGAGGACCAACAGGGCCACCAGGACUUCCUGGAUCCAGUGGCUUUGAUGGCAUCAUGGGGGAGCAAGGGAAGCAGGGAAAAGAUGGACUGAAGGGAGAUCGAGGGCCAGAUGGCAUUCAUGGAGUUCCUGGACCUCGAGGCGACAAGGGUCGAGAAGCUCGAGCAGGAUUUUCUGGAAUGCCAGGUCCAAUUGGAGAGAUGGGAAAAUCUGGAGAGAGAGGACGUGAAGGAGAACCUGGUAUUAAGGUUCCUAUGUGGCUACACUUUUUAUUCUGUCCUUGUGUGACCACAGCGUCCAGUCCCAACAUAUAUUCACUUACUACUCACUGUUCAUUUUUAAUAGUUUUUCAUAAUACGUGUGAUUAGAUGGCUUUAAUUAACAGUUUUAACAUAGUUACAUAACAUAACAUAGUUUUGAAGCUGUUUAUUAUAUCUUUACAAUUAUAUCUGUAGAUUGUAGACUAAAAAAAAUCUUUCCAAACAACAGCCAUUUCCCAUUUAAACGUCUAUUUAUAAGUCUAUAAUUUUAGUCUGUCCAAAAAUAAUGUUUAUGCAAUUUAUGGUAUGUUUAUGGUAGGUUUAUGGUACCUCUCAAAUUGUUGCUGAUAUAGAUGUUAAAGAGGCCAUGUGUUUUAUAUAUGUAAACCUUUUGUGUAGGGAUUGAUUGGAGUCCUUGGAGUUACUGGACCUAAAGGCCUGAAGGUGAUCAGAAUUAUAUAAAUAAUGUCAAAUAUUGUUGGCUAUUAAAAUGAUGAGUCUGAUUUAAAAUUGUAAUACUUGGAGGAUGAUAUUAUUUGAGUAAUUUUAAGUAUUGGUUAAUGAAUGUCGUGUAACGUUUCACUCCAGUACAGAUAACGGCAAUUUUGGAAUUGAAUUAGUCAUAUAUUUCAUCCAAAAAAACUACAUAAAGAUCUCACAUUAUCUGUGUCUCAUUUUAGGGAUUUCCAGGUCAUUUAGGUAACAGGGGACAGGAUGGACCUCCUGGAGCUCUGGUAAGACCAACCAACAAUAUGUUUCUUGUUUUUGACUUUGUUCAAUCACAUUUCACCUUCAUAAACUCUAUCAUCAUGUAAGUGUAGCAUCGGCCUCCGGACGAGAAAGGCCUCUCUAAUUAAUGUUGUGUAAGCUCCACUGAUUUUUCCAAAGCAACAAAGUGAUUGGUAGUUUUGGAGAUAAACAGCACAAUCUGAAAAAAUGCUGUUGAUUAGUAUACCAAAAUUAGGUGCAAUAUACAUCCUAUAAGUUUAAGUGUGGUGUUCUCUUUUUUUGAAUAAAGGACUAUAUUUCUCAGAAAUUACUCAUCAGUGGGACGAUUCAAGGGAUAGUUUGGAUGUUUUGAAGUGGGGUUGAAUGAGGUUUGCAUCCAUAGCCAUCGAUGACGUUUGGCACGUCCCCAGCUUGGAGAAGUAGACAGGAGUAACCAUACGGAGUCAAUGCCAUGUACUGCUGUGGAUGGGGGCAGCGGCAAAAGGUGUUUUAGCCAUGGACCGUGUAAAAAAAAUGUAUAUUGGUUUCAGUGUACGCUAUAUUUAGAAUAUUUUCACCACUUUACCUUGCUGUCAGACAGCCCUUUCUUACAGAGAACUGAAGCCUUAGUACCCAUAUAUGCUCUCUUCAAAACUACCAGACUCCAUUGAAAAAAAAACUCUAACUAAUUGAUUGAGGCAGCGAUAGACUAGCAACUCCCUUGUUCUGUGAUGGAAUACAAACGGUGCACAUAUUCUAAACAUAGUGCACACUUAGGUGGCUAAAGUACGUUUUGCGGCCGUCCCCGUCUGCAACAGUACAUUGGUUAGCAUCCAUGCUGGUACUCCUGUCUACUUUUCCAAGCUGGGAGCAUGCCUACCGUCAUUGAAUGCAAGUAAUACACUAUAGAUAAGCAUCUCAUACAACCCCACUCAAUAACAUCAGAGGUAACACAGAAUAGGUACAGAUAUGUGAUAACCUAAUAUCAUAUUUCUGUCAGGGACACAUUGGUUCAGAAGGAAUGAAUGGGGACACUGGACCUACAGGACUAAAAGGACUGCCUGGGAAGACAGGAGCUUCUGGCCUCCAAGGACCCGUAGGGAAGAGUGGAGAAGCUGG